CUUUUCUACAGGAAUUUUGGCUGGGCCUAGUGUACUGGCAGGCCUCACUCAGGCUGGGAUUUAUGGCUGGAGCUGGUACCCCUGGGGCAAACAGGUCUCGGUGUGAGUCAGGGCAGACCUCGGCCGUGCCAACGCAUGCGCUGCUGCCCUCCAGAAGGUGUGGAUCUCCUAGGAAAAAGAUCAGCACAGCCUCCAUUGGGAGUUGCUGUAGACAACAAAGAUGGAGCCAACCCCCACAAGCAGAGAGAGGAGAGUACACAGCAACAGCUGAAGGUGCAAGGUGUGCUUGGGUGACCCAAGGACAGGAAGAACAUCAACAAAGAACCAGGAGGUGCGGGGAGAAGUUCCCAGUUGGAAGCAGAGAUUUAAUUAAAAAAUGA
rnacentral:lncRNA from 1 species